rnacentral:rRNA from 1 species
CCCUUAGAUGUUCUGGGCCGCACGCGCGCUACACUGUUCGACGCAGCGAGUCUUAACCUUGACCGAAAGGUUUGGGUAAUCUUCAGCAAAGUCGAACGUGAUGGGGAUCGAUCAUUGCAAUUAUUGAUCGUGAACGAGGAAUUCCUAGUAAGUGCAAGUCAUCAGCUUGCGCUGAUUACGUCCCUGCCCUUUGUACACACCGCCCGUCGCUACUACCGAUUGAAUGGUUUAGUGAGAUCUCUGGAUUGACGCUGGCUAGGGGGCGACCCUUGGCCAGGCUGACGAGAAACUGCUCAAACUUGAUCAUUUAGAGGAAGUAAAAGUCGUAACA